rnacentral:rRNA from 1 species
UACGAAGGGGGCUAGCGUUGCUCGGAAUCACUGGGCGUAAAGGGUGCGUAGGCGGGUUUUUAAGUCAGGGGUGAAAUCCUGGAGCUCAACUCCAGAACUGCCUUUGAUACUGAAGAUCUUGAGUCCGGGAGAGGUGAGUGGAACUGCGAGUGUAGAGGUGAGAUUCGUAGAUAUUCGCAAGAACACCAGUGGCGAAGGCGGCUCACUGGCCCGGUACUGACGCUGAGGCACGAAAGCGUGGGGAGCAAACAGG